rnacentral:rRNA from 1 species
UGCAAGUCGAACGGCAGCGCGGGGCAACCUGGCGGCGAGUGGCGAACGGGUGAGUAAUAUAUCGGAACGUACCCUGGAGUGGGGGAUAACGUAGCGAAAGUUACGCUAAUACCGCAUACGAUCUAAGGAUGAAAGUGGGGGAUUCGCAAGAACCUCAUGCUCCUGGAGCGGCCGAUAUCUGAUUAGCUAGUUGGUGGGGUAAAGGCCUACCAAGGCAUCGAUCAGUAGCUGGUCUGAGAGGACGACCAGCCACACUGGAACUGAGACACGGUCCAGACUCCUACGGGAGGCAGCAGUGGGGAAUUUUGGACAAUGGGCGCAAGCCUGAUCCAGCAAUGCCGCGUGAGUGAAGAAGGCCUUCGGGUUGUAAAGCUCUUUUGUCAGGGAAGAAACGGUGGGAGCUAAUAUCUCCUGCUAAUGACGGUACCUGAAGAAUAAGCACCGGCUAACUACGUGCCAGCAGCCGCGGUAAUACGUAGGGUGCAAGCGUUAAUCGGAAUUACUGGGCGUAAAGCGUGCGCAGGCGGUUUUGUAAGUCUGUCGUGAAAUCCCCGGGCUCAACCUGGGAAUUGCGAUGGAGACUGCAAGGCUAGAAUCUGGCAGAGGGGGGUAGAAUUCCACGUGUAGCAGUGAAAUGCGUAGAGAUGUGGAGGAACACCGAUGGCGAAGGCAGCCCCCUGGGUCAAGAUUGACGCUCAUGCACGAAAGCGUGGGGAGCAAACAGGAUUAGAUACCCUGGUAGUCCACGCCCUAAACGAUGUCUACUAGUUGUCGGGUUUUAAUUAACUUGGUAACGCAGCUAACGCGUGAAGUAGACCGCCUGGGGAGUACGGUCGCAAGAUUAAAACUCAAAGGAAUUGACGGGGACCCGCACAAGCGGUGGAUGAUGUGGAUUAAUUCGAUGCAACGCGAAAAACCUUACCUACCCUUGACAUGGAUGGAAUCCCGAAGAGAUUUGGGAGUGCUCGAAAGAGAACCAUUACACAGGUGCUGCAUGGCUGUCGUCAGCUCGUGUCGUGAGAUGUUGGGUUAAGUCCCGCAACGAGCGCAACCCUUGUCAUUAGUUGCUACGAAAGAGCACUCUAAUGAGACUGCCGGUGACAAACCGGAGGAAGGUGGGGAUGACGUCAAGUCCUCAUGGCCCUUAUGGGUAGGGCUUCACACGUCAUACAAUGGUACAUACAGAGGGCCGCCAACCCGCGAGGGGGAGCUAAUCCCAGAAAGUGUAUCGUAGUCCGGAUUGUAGUCUGCAACUCGACUACAUGAAGUUGGAAUCGCUAGUAAUCGCGGAUCAGCAUGUCGCGGUGAAUACGUUCCCGGGUCUUGUACACACCGCCCGUCACACCAUGGGAGCGGGUUUUACCAGAAGUAGGUAGCUUAACCGCAAGGAGGGCGCUACCAC